GACGAACCGUGCGAACGUUGUUCGGAAUCACUGGGCUUAAAGGGCGCGUAGGCGGCUUAUCAAGUCGGGGGUGAAAUACUUCAGCUUAACUGGAGAAGUGCCUUCGAUACUGGUGGGCUUGAGGGAGGUAGGGGUCUUUGGAACUUCUGGUGGAGCGGUGAAAUGCGCAGAUAUCAGGAGGAACACCGGUGGCGAAGGCGGUUCUCUGGGCAUGUCCUGACGCUGAGGAGCGAAAGUGUGGGGAGCGAACAGG
rnacentral:rRNA from 1 species